CAGCAGCAGACUAAAUAAAUCAAACCGUAAAAUCAAAAACCUCCCGCAAACCAAAAUCUCAAGCAAAAGUGCAAAACCAAAACCUUAACAUUCUACUCUAUCCUUUCUAACAAAACCCCAGAAUCCAAUCUCCUGGAAAACUUAGACCAGAUCACCGCUGCACCACCAGAUCACCGCCGCACUACUGUACCGCAUUAUUGUUCGUUGGCCCCCCUCUCCCUCUCCCUCUACUCAAAAUCCCCAAUUCGUCUAGCGCUUUCCGGCGACUUUUAGGGUUUUGCGUAAAAAUUGAAUCACACUGCGUCGAAUGGCAGGAGCUAGAUCUUUGUUCUUUGGAUCCCCUCUCCUUCUCUCUCCUUUGGCUGUUUUAUAUAUCAAGAAAGAAUUCAACUUGCAGAGUGCACCAACUUUGGAAGGCUUAAUUGUGACUAUGGCACUAGUUGGAGCAACUCUGAUCACAACAUGUUGCGGACCGAUUUCAGAUCGUGUUGGUCGUCGCCCUAUGAUGAUUAUCUCAUCUCUCUGUUACUUUGUUAGUUCCUAAAUAAUUUUGUGGUCUCCUAAUAAUUAUGUUAUACUCUUGCACCUUCUAUUGGAUGGUUGAGGAAAUUGGUAGUAGUCACUCUUGUUCCUCUUUAUAUACCAGAGACAGCUCCAACUGAAAUAAGGGUUUCAUUGGACACACUUCCUCAGUUCACUGGUUCUGGUGGAAUGUUUGCCGCGAACUGUAUGGUUUUUGGAAUGUCACUAAUAGGAAAACCUAGUUGGAGAUUGAUACUUGGGGUUAUUUUAGUUUCAUCCAGUAUUCAUUAUAUAUUAACUGUAUUCUUCUUGCCCGAGUCUCCUCGUUGGCUUGUUAGUAAAGGAAAAAUGAAUGAGGCCAAAAGGGUUCUUCAACAAUUGCGAGGCAGGGAUGAUGUCGAUGUAUUUUAACAAAGCUCCCACGUAUUUUCAAACUACGAUUGACGAGCUAAGGGAGAGGUGGAUCUCAUACGUUAUCGAAUAUCACCAAUCAAAUAACGAUGAAGAUGAAGAUUAUGAUGACGAUAAUCUAGUGUACUUAAGCUAGCUCAGGGAGAUGGUUACCUCAGUUCAGUCCUGCAGAUGAACCUCAGUUCAGUCCUGCAGAUGAACUGCCAAGUAUACCACCAGUAGACAAUUCCACCAAUAUGGUCCUUGUUCUUGCUGCAGAAGCUGCCAUUGUUUUUGCUACACCAUCCCUAGUUGCUGCUGCAAUCCCCAGUACGUUGCUGCUGCUACAGAAGCUUCAGCUCCUGAAUUUUUAUUUUUUUUAUUUAUAUUGGAUUUUGUUUUUACCGUACCUUAGUGUAGAUCGUUUAUAUUUUAUCAAUGAAUAAUAAGAUUUUGUUAUUGAAUGAACACUAUUAUGUUGUUAUUGAAUGAAAGUAUUUUUGGAAAGAUCGUGUGGAUAUCAUUUUUAUUUUAUCUAUUUAAAUCUGGUUUACA